UACGAAGGGGGCUAGCGUUGCUCGGAAUCACUGGGCGUAAAGCGCACGUAGGCGGAUUGCUAAGUCAGGGGUGAAAUCCUGGAGCUCAACUCCAGAACUGCCUUUGAUACUGGCGAUCUCGAGUUCGGGAGAGGUGAGUGGAACUGCGAGUGUAGAGGUGAAAUUCGUAGAUAUUCGCAAGAACACCAGUGGCGAAGGCGGGCUCACUGGCCCGGUACUGACGCUGAGGUGCGAAAGCGUGGGGAGCAACAGG
rnacentral:rRNA from 1 species